ACAACCAAGGGAUUUUUUUCAAGUGAGAGACUAUAUAAAAUAUAGUCUCUCAUGCACUUAGGGUUAUAUAUUAUAUAACCCUAAGUCUGUUUUUCUCCAGUUGUAUCUCAUUUUGAAUCGUUAACAGUUCAUAGUUACAUGUUCAGUUUGUUGUUAACACCAACACCAUGUCUUUAUCAAAAUUUCAGCUAAAACAAAACCUUUAUUGUAUGAGUGAUACGUCACAGGAUGGUGGUUAUGAAUAUGGAGAUCCCACCGAAUACCAAGAGGCCCCUGACAAGACCGGCGUGCUUGAAGUGUCAGAAGACCCGAGAAAGAAGUGUUCUGAGAUAGAAGUAUUGGUACAUCAUAGUAAACAUGACAACAUUCUCUGUGUCACAACUAAAGAUAGAUCAACAUUUUUCAGCUUUGAGAGCAGGUCGGACAUGGAAUCCUGGCGCAGGGCACUAAAUUCAAUGAUAAGAAAAUGAUCAACCAACAAUUACUGACCUUACACAGAGCAGACGCACUACCAAGGCACUCUACCUCCAACUUCGGUCUUCUUCAGCUAUAAGGUCACCAAUUCUAUCCGAAGUUCGGACAUCUAAGAAAUACAUAGAUCUCUCGUUCCUCUCCAUCAUUGGAAUAUUUAUAGGCAUACACUUAUCCUAAUUCCUUAGUUACUUUGUAUAACAGCAAAUAGAAAAAUAAAGUUUCAACAUUUUUUUUAAGUUAUAGAGCCUAUACAUGUAUAAAAGUGUUUAGGUCUGGACGCAGGAUCCUAGAUACGCAGGUAUAUAUCACUUUGACCAGCUAAGGGUUCUAUUUAGAGGCAUGAAGGAACCUUUUGAUCGAAUUUAAUUUCUGAUAUACGCCCCCCUCCCACCAAGUCGCUUUUCAAAUCAUGUAGAUGUAAUAAAAUAUAUUCUGUUUUAUUAGAGAGCAUAUAGGGUAUGGAAACUUAGACUAUACGGAAAUCGUAAGGCCCGUAUUCUGAACUCCGGUAUAAGGAGAGCCAAUUGGGGCACAAAUCUCUAGUAGUGGUACAUGUUCAAUUUAUUAAUUCUUAUGAUACUCAAAUCAUUAUAACUGUCUUAGAAUGAUAACUGAAAUAUUUUCUUCAAAACAAAAUAGCAACAAAUGUAAGAAAUAUACAAUAUUAGCAGAAUUGUUUGAUUUUUUUGGCUCCCCAUAAAUCUAGGAGAGUUAGACCAUGGUCUAAGUUAAACCUCACUUCAGAAUACGGGUCUGCAUGUGUCGGGUGCGGGGUCUGUGAAUAAAUAAAAAUUCGCAUAUUUCAUGAAUAUGUUGGAGUUGUCAUGGUUUUUUUAUUAAUUAUUUGUUAGAAAGGUUGUAUAAGCAUGCAUGAUCUAGUUGUUUUAUUUGGAAGAACAGGUCGAUUAGCAAAGUUAGUUUAAUUAUUUUAGAUAUUUUAUUCAUUCCAGUAUGUAACUGGCUUAUCGAGUUUUUUUUUUUUUUUAGAAACGUUUAAGUGCGAGGAAUCGACUUCAAAGAAGACGUUUCCCAUUGCACAUAAUUCACCCAUUCCCUCUAAUUCUGUUGUGUUCACCAGGUUUUUUUUUAGUAAUUAAAGGUAACGAUCUGACAUAACGUUACUCGGGACUAUGUUAUUUUGAGUACACAGCAAAAACUGUGGUGUUAACCGGUGUACAUAGAGGAACACACCAGUUAUUUUACACCGGUGUUAAAUUGGUGGUGUUAGUUUUACACCUAUAGGUGUUAUUACAACACCUUUUGUUGUUACAUUUACACUCUUUGGUGUUAUGUUUAAUCUCUAGGGUGUAAUUUUAACACCUCAGGGUGUGGUCCUCUAUUAACACCAAUUGGUGUCAGUUUUAACACCGCAGUUUUUACAGUGUAACAUGACAAUUUUUUAGUGUGUAGAACCAAUGCUGCGGUGAAUUUUAGUCAUUCCCGUAACUUUUUUUUUUUAGUAAUUAAAGGUAACAAUCUGA